AUUGCCCUAGUAACGGCGAGUGAAGCGGCAACAGCUCAAAUUUGAAAUCUGGCUCUUUUAGAGUCCGAGUUGUAAUUUGCAGAGGGCGCUUUGGCGUUGGCAGCGGUCCAAGUUCUUUGGAACAGGACGUCACAGAGGGUGAGAAUCCCGUACGUGGUCGCUAUCCUUCGCCGUGUAAAGCCCCUUCGACGAGUCGAGUUGUUUGGGAAUGCAGCUCUAAAUGGGAGGUAAAUUUCUUCUAAAGCUAAAUACUGGCCAGAGACCGAUAGCGCACAAGUAGAGUGAUCGAAAGAUGAAAAGCACUUUGGAAAGAGAGUCAAAUAGCACGUGAAAUUGUUGAAAGGGAAGCGCUUGCAGCCAGACUUGCCUGUAGUUGCUUAUCCGGACUUUUGUCCGGUGCACUCUUCUGCGGGCAGGCCAGCAUCAGUUUGGGCGGUUAGAUAAAGGUCUCUGUCAUGUACCUCUCUUCGGGGAGGCCUUAUAGGGGAGACGACAUGUAACCAGCCUGGACUGAGGUCCGCGCAUCUGCUAGGAUGCUGGCGUAAUGGCUGUAAGCGGCCCGUCUUGAAACACGGACCAAGGAGUCUAACAUCUAUGCGAGUGUUUGGGUGUCAAGCCCAGACGCGUAAUGAAAGUGAACGGAGGUAGGAACCCUUUGGGUGCACUAUCGACCGAUCCUGAUGUCUUCGGAAGGAUUUGAGUAAGAGCAUGGCUGUUGGGACCCGAAAGAUGGUGAACUAUGCUUGAAUAGGGUGAAGCCAGAGGAAACUCUGGUGGAGGCUCGCAGCGGUUCUGACGUGCAAAUCGAUCGUCAAAUUUGGGCAUAGGGGCGAAAGACUAAUCGAAC
rnacentral:rRNA from 1 species